AUUGGCACAGGGUGGGUUCCUAGGCCCAUUUGCUUUCUUUUUCCCAUAUCUGAGGUUUCCACCCAGAACAGCAGCACCCUGGGAGCGUGGAUCCUGAGGACUGAUGGCAUUGGGAGCCGUGCCCAACAGCGCUCCUUCUUCCCUAAUGAAAGAGUAAGUGCUGAGGCAGGUGAGGCUGCGAGGAGGGUAACGAGCCCAGCUCUCAGGGUUUGGAGUUGCAUGGAAAGGGAGCUAGGGUGAUUUCUUACCUCCCCCCUGCUCCCACCCUGCUGUGGAAGAUGGCUUAGGAUUUGGAGAGAAAGCCAGGCCCAGAGGGAAAGGGAAAUGAAGAGGGGCUUGCUGGAGCCCUGAUUGCAUUUGGACUCUUGUCCCUGCUGGAAAGGACAGAGAUGCCGGGAUUUCUGGAAGCCAGACAGGAAAGGGGCACGGAGGUUUGAAAAACGAAAUCUUCUGAGAUUCCCUGAGUCUUAUCGGCACACAGGGCCAGCAAUGGAAGUCGAUUUAAAAAGCGCUGCUCUACCACUGCAACCUACCCUGUUACUUCUCAUGAACUCAGGCUUGUCGGAGAGCUGGCAUUGCUGACGGCUUGCCAGGUAUUAGCAUUGGCCCAGAGUCAGAGGCAUCAACACGCUGAGAGAGGGCCUGUCUCAGGCUUUCAGAUCUGAAAACACCUAGCGACUGAAACCUCAGAGAGAGCGAGCUUUCUUUUCUUCUCUUUCCAAGGAGCUGAGAUAAACAUCCGACUCGACGGCAGUCUAUGCAUAUCUUACUCCAAACCGUGGAAAGUUUCUCCAUCGAUAACGCACGCUGUGAAGGAGGUCUGCCUACAAGUGAAUGAGAUGGUGCUGCCAAGCUACCCUGCACCAUUGCAAGGACCAUUUUUUCCAGCUGUAACUUCCCUGAGAGCAGCAAGCAGACCCCAAGAAGGAACGGGGGGUCUGCACGUCAGAGACGACACAGUCGCCCUCCUUUCCCAAAUGGACUCUGCAAUUGGGGAGGAUGUGUUUUCAGACGCCCUCGGUUUUAUCCUUAACACCACUUCCAUGAGUUUCAUUGGGAGACAGCAUCCCAAAGGGGUUUCAGUCGACCUCUGGAAACUCGGGGCCAGAAUCAGGUGUGCCGUGCCCGGCGGCUCCGGGGGUCGGGAGCUGGCAGCUUUCUCUGCGUCCCGUGUCUGCGGAUCAGGCGCGUGCCGGUUUCCCUCGAUAGCCUCGUGCACCGGGUUGUGACCAAGCACAACAGCUCGCAGAGACACAUUUUACAAGCCAGGGGUCUCCUGAACCAUGCGGCAAUGUAGCCGAGGGUCUGCCGUACCCCGCGAUGCAGGCAGUGGUGCUGAGCCGUCUGGGUUGGGUCUCCUGCAACCUGGGAAGGGGUUUACAUCAGGGGCUCCCGUUGUGUGGGUUAAGUCCACAUCAAGGCUGUGUAAUGCAUAAAGCAGCCUUUGGGGUGGCUAGGAUCCAACCUGCUGCCUCAGUGAAGCUCUUUACCUUCUGAAGACAAACUCGACCAGUGCUUGCAAUGACAAGAACUUGCCCCGUGGGCCCAUUUCAUGUAAGAUCCCUGAUAAUUCUUUAAGUCGGAGGCUCUCGCACCGGCUUCCCAAGUCAAUACACUUGCAGCCAGAAAUGCUAAUUUUAUUUACAGGUUUCCAUUGGAGACAGAGCUUGAACCUCAUUAUUCACCGAACGGGCUUGAACGUGACGUGAUAGCAAUAGCAACUCGGGAAGUGCCGACUCCCCUCCGCCCCAGCCCUUCUCCUCUGCACGCUGACAUUUCUUUCUGAAUGUUUAAGUUCAUGGCUGCGCUAAUCUCUUGUGCAAAAUCAAACCCACACGAGGCAGCUGGAGUGGACAUUGUUAUGCAGCACACACGAGAGCAGCUUGCGGUGCGGAGCAGUGACAAAUGCCCAGGUUCCUCUCCUCCGUGCAGGGCUAUUUUAUGUAUUUAUUUAGUUAUUUUUUGCAUAAGCGCAAGCCUGGAAAGGGCUUUUCUUCCUCCACCCCUGCAAAAGCCUUAUAUUGACCUGAAAUACUAAGACCCACCUGGGCACGAAAAUGCAAAUAUCAGCUAACCUUUCAUUACGGAAAUAAGAUGGCAGUUUGACGUAGCCUUGGCUGGAGGUGCUCGGUGCAAACGGUGUCACGUGGAACGUGAAUUCGGUAGACAAUGCUAAUCUUAGAAACUGCACAACGUGAGAGAGAAAUUAGGGCAACUCACCUAACGGCGAAGGCCCCGGGGUGCUUUCAGCCUUUCCGGGCUCCUGCAGCUUUGCCACGGCAGGUACUUGCUCGUGUUAUUUAAGUAACGGAUAAUAUUACGUCUUUUUGCGUACGGCGCCGGUCAGGCCAGGCGUCUCGUGGUCUGCUGUCUGGUGCCACGUCGAGCAGCACAGCCUCUUCUAUGGUCGGGUGGUCAGCGACUCGCCCUGGGCUAGCCGGGGCGAGGAGGAUGUGGGGCACUAAAAACAAGACCUGUCAAAGGGUGGAUGAGCAGCCUGCAAGCCAAUGGUCAUCCAUGCCUGGAGAGGAGAUGGGCACCACCAGGUCGCUUUGCCUGGAAGAUCACUAACGAUGCAAAGCAACUCAACUAAUUUCACAUGGGACCGGUCGAGGCCGGGUCUACGAUGACAAUGUCCAAACGUAGGGCGAUGUGGAGGAGGGUUGUUACAGCGUCCGUGGUGCCCCGAUGGCCGCAGUGGCCUAGGGACUGACUUGACUUCCAUAAGGCACAGACCAGGAGCUACAUCGGGGGAGGCAAGCUAUAGCCCCCGGGCUGCAUCUGGCCUAUCCAGCAUGGGGGACCGAUCUCACGAAGCUGUGCUGUCCCCACCUCCCACAACCCCUCCACCGAGUCUGAGCUUCCUCUCGCUGCAGAGGAGCUGGGAAUCUGGGGGGCAGCCAUUCCCUUCCCACCCGUUCAGGAUCAGGACAUUGAGCCUGAAUCCUGGGUCCUCUUGCGAUCUCCUUAAAACUUUGCAGCAACACGGCGAUCAUCCUCGAUGUGAGCUGGCACGAGUGUGAAUACGGGCAUUUUCGGCACAAAUAACCAACUCUGUUGCAUGAUGGGGGUUGUCAGAGAUGUUGCAAACAGCCCCCAGAACGUGCACUAUAGUAAUGACUGCCUUAACGAGGGGGGAACUGGUGCCCCUGGAAAACGUGCUUCGUCCCAGCUUCUCUGCCAUGAGGUCUCACAUGCCCUCUUAUUGUCCUCACAUAGAGCUUGGACCCUGGAUGGAUGAGGACACACCACAGACAUGCGGAAACCCCCGAGAAUAAGGAGCUUUUGUCAACCUGAGCAGCGCCGUGAGAGCCCCGAACGCUAAACGCAGUUGCACCGUGCUGGGCCUGGGUCAUCUCCAGCCUUCCCUGGCUUUUUCCAGGACCUCUUUGGCCUUUCCUGGACACAGGCACAUCCCGAUACGAAUUUGUGGAAAUGCAGCCUGGCGGCUCAAUUGCCCUCGGGUCCGAGGAGCCGUGCGAACACGCCAUUAGCUUAAGGAUCCCCUUUCCCAAGCCGCCGAUUUGGGGGUUCUCUGAGUCGACGGGUGGGACACGUGGCAGUGAGAGCAUAAAGUCUCUGCUCCAAGAAACCAAUCACUCUCGACUCUAACUAGCAGGAGAAACACGCAUGCCUAGAGGAAACAAGAACGGUGCCUGCAUGCAUUUCUGUGACACGGGCUCCUUACCGCUCCUGGGCUCUUUGGGUCAGGUCGGCGUGCUCCAAGGACUCCUUCCUAAUCAUGGCUUCUCCUCUGGAUCAUGGAGAAUAGCUCUCUUCUUCUCAGCCACUUUCUUCUAUCAGUUAGCCCUAGAAUUAACCUGUUCCUCUUGCAAGCAUGAACUGCCUGCCGUUCCCCCCGUGCAGCUACUCUAAAAUGCAGAACAACGCAAGAGAUGCCCGCAUAAACCACACUCCCAUGGCAGCAACAGGAUUUCUUUACAACAGGUCAAUCCCCAGCUUCCCCUUCAGAGACAUCGUUAUAUCCAGUUGCACCGUGGCAGCACAAGGACAACUUAGCACAUCCUGGCCCCCCAAACUGCUUCAUCUAGUUGUUUAGAAAGAAUUCACGGGCAUCCAUCUGCAUCCAGCGAAGAGCAUGUGGCCAUCAACCAUGCAGAGACUAACGGUUCGGCUCAUUAAGUGUCCAAAUGCUGCAAUUUUGAUCUGCGAGCGGCUAAAGUUCGAAGUGCUAUCUGCAGAUCUGGAGGCCGAGCUAAGACUUCUUGCAAAUGCUAGUCCCACGGCGAGUGAAAGAUAUUGCUCAUAAAUUCUGUCCACCAAAAGCCUGACAGCGGAGAGAAAACUGACUUAGGCCAAAAGCAAAUGAACAGAAGCAAGUCCUGAAGCUUGGGUGAAGGCCAAGAGUGUGACACUUUGAUCCUAUUUCCAGUAAAAUCAGUGGGAAAGCUGCCAUUGACUCCGGGGGUGCAGAAGCAAGCACCAGUGAAGGAUGGAGUGGAAAGAGACCCGAGUCUGACCCAUCUGAUUAGAUGCGAGCAAAAUGGAUUCGCUCUCAAUUCCACUCGCAAUUUAGCCAUAACCAAGCCAGCGGAGGAAACGUGCCCCUGACCAGGUGGGUACAAAAAGAUGCCCACACUUCACCUCCUAAAAAUAUCCCCUGCUGAAUAGACCGAGUGAACAAGAUGAUUCAGACAAAGCCAGUCGUCUGCCAACGUAGGCGCGGUUGCACCUACACUGUUAGAGGCUAUAACGAGAGGACGGGAGCUAGACCCAUGUCUCUGGUGCAGCUGAUAAUUUGAAAUAAAGCUUUGAGACAUCAUUUGGUCUCUGCAUUCCUCAGUUUACCCUUGGCAGGUAUAACAUUACGUGCUUACCUUGGGAGGGGAUGCUCUGUGGAGGUUAUUCAAUCAAGUGCUGACUUUCUUAGAGCAAAGGCAGUACUGCUGUUGCUCCUAAUAUUUAUCACAUAAAAGUUUCAGUUGCACAAUGAACAAGCCCAUGAAUAUUCAUCCCCAUGAAGUUGGCCUUGAAUUCUGCUCAGACUCUGAUUAAAAAACUAGACAAAUCAUAUAUUAUCCAGGAUAUUUUAUAUGUACAGCCCGGAGUAAUAGCUGUAACCUUUGUAAUUGCCAAAGUUGCAAAUAUUCAUUGCAACGUGUACGGAAAUGUACGGUCUUUGAGGCAUAAAUCCAACUGUGGGGCAGUCUUUUGUGCUCGCAUAUUUGCAUUGUGCCAGGGAGAAUAAAAGAAAUAUGCUCCAGGAGUGAUUUUUAGCUUCAUUUUCCCUUUGAAGGUGUACAGAGCAAGCAAGAUACAAGCCAGUUUUGUGUCUUGUUCGUAACCAAUACUGUAUUCAGACGGCACAUCUACACGUGCAUUGAUGUUACUGCGCAUUAAGUUUAUUACCUCUAUUAACUAAACGCACAGGAGAAUUAGUCAACCGUGCAUUUGGUGUCUCGUGUAGACUUGCCCAGUGUGUAGAAAGAAUAAUUUCCUAAAAAGAUGCCCUGAAUAGGCAGGACUACAGCAAACCCGCCAAGGCUCAGACGAGGCGCGGGGUCAGCUAUAGUCAUAAGCAGACCAGAAGGUGUAGUGCAAGCCCCAGAGUGGAAAUGCUGAUGUUUUCCUUGAAUACGGUGCAGAGGUAGGUCUCUGUGUUAGUCUGAGGGCAGGCAGAAGUCAGGGCAGGACAGCACCUUAGAGACUAACUAGUCCAGAAAGGCACAUGCUUUUGUAGGCCACAACCUACUUCACCAAGUGCUAGGAAAAACAUGCCAGGGUCUCUAAGGUGCAACCCUCCCCUGCCUUCUUCCUACAUGCUGUCCAAUAAAAGCUAGUAGGGAACCAGAUGAGCAUCACGGUGGGGAUAAUUAAAAGAAUCAGCAUUAUUUUUAUUCUGUCAUCACGUACCUG